GCUUCACAAAUGCUCAGCUGGUAAAGCAUGAGACUCCUAAUCUUGUGGUCAUGGGUUCGAGCCCCACGGUGGGCA